UCUCUCGAACUGAUUAUCAACAUAAACCAGAAACGUAUGGUCUUCAGCUCGGGAACUCCAACGAACUGAUGCAUUUCACGAAAAGGAAUUGCAGCAUAUAGAUAUUUCAUUUCGCUUCAAAACAUAGUAAUCCAUCAGGUUUCGCGUACUGAACUGAAGACUGGACGUACUCCUUAUCCUGUUGUCACAAGGCUUCUUCGUUUUUGGGAACCACGUAGUCUCAAGAAAUGUGGUGAUCUUAUGCGUCCACAUGCCACUCCUUGAUGAGAAGGUCAUUGCAUUUUGUUAUUUUCUCCUAAACUUUAUAUAUUCAAAAUAUUACUGGAUCGUUGUCAUCUUCUCAGUCGACGCUCAUUCAAGGUUCAAUCAAUGUCGACCAAUUGAUCACUUUCAGACAUCUACCAUCUACUUAAGUUAACGUCUAGGGUGAUUAAUCUUCACCAAGGAUAUGGAUUCAUUGAGCUCUGAACUUUGAAGCAAAGAAAAUGAUGACUAGGCAAUUAAGGUUCUUAACAUGAUUAAGCUCCAUGGGAAGUCUAUAUGUGCUAACCGGGCGUCUCAAGAUAAGAAGAGCUUGGAUGUUGGUGCUAACCUUUUUCAUUGGAAACCUUGACCGUGGAAUGGCCGGACAAUGUCUCAGUAAUUGUCAAAUAACAGUCUCUUUAGCUUACAAGAAAUACACCAAAGGCGAGCACCAACAAGUCAGUA